AUACGGAGGGUGCAAGCGUUACUCGGAAUCACUGGGCGUAAAGGACGCGUAGGCGGGUUGGAAAGUCUGAUGUGAAAUCCUACAGCUUAACUGUAGAACUGCAUUGGAAACUUCCAACCUAGAGGAUGGGAGGGGGAGAUGGAAUUAGUGGUGUAGGGGUAAAAUCCGUAGAUAUCACUAGGAAUACCCAAAGCGAAGGCGAUCUCCUGGAACAUUACUGACGCUAAGGCGUGAAAGCGUGGGGAGCAAACGGGAUUAGAAACCCUAGUAGUCC
rnacentral:rRNA from 1 species